UACGGGGGGGGCAAGCGUUGUUCGGAAUUACUGGGCGUAAAGGGCGCGUAGGCGGUUCGCUAAGUUGGAUGUGAAAACUCUGGGCUCAACCCAGAGCCUGCAUCCAAAACUGGCGGGCUAGAGUUCUGGAGGGGGUAGCGGAAUUCCUGGUGUAGCGGUGAAAUGCGUAGAUAUCAGGAGGAAUACCGGUGGCGAAGGCGGCUAUCUGGCCAUGUACUGACGCUGAGACACGAAAGCGUGGGGAGCAAACAGG
rnacentral:rRNA from 1 species